rnacentral:misc_RNA from 1 species
GAUGAAGAACGUAGCGAAAUGCGAUAAGUAGUGUGAAUUGCAGAAUUCAGUGAAUCAUCGAAUCUUUGAACGCACAUUGCGCCCCCUGGUAUUCCGGGGGGCAUGCCUGUCCGAGCGUCAUUACAACACUCAAGCUCAGCUUGGUAUUGGGCCCCGCCGACCCGGCGGGCCCUAAAGUCAGUGGCGGUGCCGUCCGGCUCCGAGCGUAGUAAUUCUUCUCGCUCUGGAGGUCCGGUCGUGUGCUCGCCAGCAACCCCCAAUUUUUUUCAGGUUGACCUCGGAUCAGGUAGGGAUACCCGCUGAACUUAAGCAUAUCAAUAAGCGGAGGA